GAGACAUUUGUUCAAGACACUUUUUUUCUCCUCUCACUGACAAUACGUAAGGCAGAAAGUUGGUGUCUACGUUGCUGCAUGGCUGCAGAAUAGAUUGUUUCGAGAAGGUGAACUCUGGAAAGUGCUGAAUGCUUGUUAUAUGGAGGCAGAUAAUUUGAUGGAGCUACAUCUAACUUGACGUAGAGACCACAGUGUGUCACCAGAGAUUCUGGCCUCCUGAGCUGGAUGCAGAAACUGAGAGAACUUGGAGUUGACUCCCAUGGGGAGUGGGUAAGUAUUUUCUGUCAUGGUAAUAAUGUAAUCAAGAUAUUUUUGAUACCAGAAUUGUGCCUAGCUUUGGACAGUGGACCAUGGGUGGAGGAGGCGAGUGUCGCUUCUGGGCAGGAACAAUAAAAAUAUCCUGCACAAUGUUUCUUACUGUCUCUUCCUCUCCUGAGACAAUCCUGGAACUCUCAUGUUCAGAUUGUGAAGGCAUAAGACAGAUAGAGAUAAGAUUCUUGAAUUCCCACAUAUAAGGAGCUGUCCUAGAGAGGUUACUAACUUGCUGUGGGGUUUUCUUGAAUGGAGG
rnacentral:lncRNA from 1 species